rnacentral:rRNA from 1 species
GCGGUAAUUCCAGCUCCAAUAGCGUAUAUUAAAGUUGUUGCCGUUAAAAAGCUCGUAGUUGAACCUUGGACCUGGCUGAUCUGUCCUCCUAAUCGAGCGCACGGAUUCGGUCGGGUCUUUCCUUCUGGGGAGCCUAUGCCCUUCACUGGGUGUAGU